rnacentral:rRNA from 1 species
UACGUAGGGUGCAAGCGUUAAUCGGAAUUACUGGGCGUAAAGCGUGCGCAGGCGGUUUUGGAAGUCUGUCGUGAAAGCCCCGAGCUUAACCUGGGAAUUGCGAUGGAGACUGCAAGGCUUGAAUCUGGCAGAGGGGGGUAGAAUUCCACGUGUAGCAGUGAAAUGCGUAGAGAUGUGGAGGAACACCGAUGGCGAAGGCAGCCCCCUGGGUCAAGAUUGACGCUCAUGCACGAAAGCGUGGGGAGCAAACAGG